AAGGGCGCCAUGCUUGUGUUCCAAUCAGUGUUUACCGAUUGACGAACUUUUCCAUUGCCGUGUUUUAUUACACGCUCCACUGAUCCUAUUUCUAAAGGUGUUUUCUGAUCUGCUGGGAACGGUUUUCUGUGUACGGUAGCACUUUGUUCUUCCCACGUCACUUGGUUUUGUCAUGCUCAAGCGUCCUGUGGGAGGUAAUUUCUCUACACCGGACAAAUUGCCGCAACGCUUCGCUUGGCCAGACAUAGCAAACCGAUAACGAGGGCACGAAGUGAGAAGGAUAAAGAAAGAAACGAUUACUCAGUCGCUUCGUCUGCGAACGUUGAG